rnacentral:rRNA from 1 species
GAUGAACGCUGGCGGCGUGCCCAAUACAUGCAAGUCGAGCGAACGGACGAGAAGCUUGCUUCUCUGAUGUUAGCGGCGGACGGGUGAGUAACACGUGGAUAACCUACCUAUAAGACUGGGAUAACCUCGGGAAACCGGAGCUAAUACCGGAUAAUAUUUUGAACCGCAUGGUUCAAAAGUGAAAGACGGUCUUGCUGUCACUUAUAGAUGGAUCCGCGCUGCAUUAGCUAGUUGGUAAGGUAACGGCUUACCAAGGCAACGAUGCAUAGCCGACCUGAGAGGGUGAUCGGCCACACUGGAACUGAGACACGGUCCAGACUCCUACGGGAGGCAGCAGUAGGGAAUCUUCCGCAAUGGGCGAAAGCCUGACGUAGCAACGCCGCGUGAGUGAUGAAGGUCUUCGGAUCGUAAAACUCUGUUAUUAGGGAAGAACAUAUGUGUAAGUAACUGUGCACAUCUUGACGGUACCUAAUCAGAAAGCCACGGCUAACUACGUG